rnacentral:rRNA from 1 species
UACGUAGGGGGCUAGCGUUGUCCGGAAUCAUUGGGCGUAAAGCGCGUGUAGGCGGCCCGGUAAGUCCGCUGUGAAAGUCGGGGGCUCAACCCUCGGAUGCCGGUGGAUACUGUCGGGCUAGAGUGCGGAAGAGGCGAGUGGAAUUCCUGGUGUAGGCGGUGAAAUGCGCAGAUAUCAGGAGGAACACCAAUUGCGAAGGCAGCUCGCUGGGACGUGACUGACGCUGAGACGCGAAAGCGUGGGGAGCGAACAGG